rnacentral:rRNA from 1 species
UACGGAGGGUGCGAGCGUUAAUCGGAAUUACUGGGCGUAAAGAGCACGUAGGUGGUUUGAUAAGUCAGGUGUGAAAGCCCUGGGCUUAACCUGGGAAUUGCAUUUGAUACUGUCAAACUAGAGUCUAGGAGAGGAAUGCGGAAUUCCGGGUGUAGCGGUGAAAUGCGUAGAUAUCCGGAGGAACAUCAGUGGCGAAGGCGACUUUCUGGCCUAUUCUUGACGCUGAGGCGCGAAAGCUAGGGGAGCGAACGGG